rnacentral:rRNA from 1 species
UCCUGCCAGAGGUUACUGCUAUCGGUGUUCGCCUAAGCCAUGCGAGUCAUAUGUUCUUCGUGAACAUGGCGUACUGCUCAGUAACACGUGGAUAACCUGCCCUUGGGUCCGGCAUAACCCCGGGAAACUGGGGAUAAUUCCGGAUACCGCAUAUCUGCUGGAAUGCUUUAUGCGUAAAAUGGAUUCGUCUGCCCAAGGAUGGGUCUGCGGCCUAUCAGGUAGUAGUGGGUGUAACGUACCUACUAGCCAACGACGGGUACGGGUUGUGAGAGCAAGAGCCCGGAGAUGGAUUCUGAGACAUGAAUCCAGGCCCUACGGGGCGCAGCAGGCGCGAAAACUUUACAAUGCGGGAAACCGUGAUAAGGGGACACCGAGUGCCAGCAUCAUAUGCUGGCUGUCCGGGUGUGUAAAAUACACCUGUUAGCAAGGGCCGGGCAAGACCGGUGCCAGCCGCCGCGGUAACACCGGCGGCCCGAGUGGUGAUCGUGAUUAUUGGGUCUAAAGGGUCCGUAGCCGGUUUGGUCAGUCCUCCGGGAAAUCUGACGGCUUAACCGUUAGGCUUUCGGGGGAUACUGCCAGGCUUGGAACCGGGAGAGGUAAGAGGUACUACAGGGGUAGGAGUGAAAUCUUGUAAUCCCUGUGGGACCACCUGUGGCGAAGGCGUCUUACCAGAACGGGUUCGACGGUGAGGGACGAAAGCUGGGGGCACGAACCGGAUUAGAUACCCGGGUAGUCCCAGCCGUAAACGAAGCUCGCUAGGUGUCAGGCAUGGCGCGACCGUGUCUGGUGCCGCAGGGAAGCCGUGAAGCGAGCCACCUGGGAAGUACGGCCGCAAGGCUGAAACUUAA